UCACACAUAAUUUAAAAAACAAUUUUCUAGCGUUUUCUCUCUCCUCCUUUAUUCGACACUCCAUUUUCUCUCUCCUCCUUCAAUUUCUCUGCUCCCUUUCAACUGCUAUUUGCUUUGAUUCUUCAUCAAUUCUUCUUCAAACUUCAUUGAUUCUUUGUCAAGAUAUCAUGCCUAUUUCAUCUUGACGCGGCUGAAAAUUGGACAAUCGAUUCGAUAGAGAAGAUUCGGAUGUGGCGGUAGAUUUGGAGUUUGUGGCAUUGCACGAAAUUGGAUCUUUGUCAGAAUCUGAGACUUUUCAUCUCAACCCUUAAAUUGGAGGGAAGGAUUGCAAAUACCAGCCACCUUAUUGGUCAUAAUCAUUGAAAAAUUUCGUUCGAAGUAUAUAGUCUCUCAAUUAUUUCAAGUGAAGUAAAUACUAUUGAAUCUGUUAAACAAAUUUGUCAAAAGAAAAAAAAAAGGUUAAAGAAAACUAGUGUUGCAACUUAAGAAAGCUAGUUGUCAAUGAUAUGAUCUUAGUAGCAUCCCCAACGGCAAGCAAUCCAAGAGCAUUCACGAUAGAGAAGACUAAAGUUGAUAUUCUUUUUAUUGGUUACUAUUCUUCAUAAGUCCUUGUCUGCAUAAGACAAGUUGACUUUAGGAAGAAUCACAUUUUGUCAAAAAUUAAUAUUUAUUCUUUGCUAAUUUGUUAAAAUUGAGCAAAUAAUUUGUCAAAAUGAGCAAUUAAAUUUUUGCUUAUUUGUCAAAUGAGCAAUUAAUUUUUGCUCAUUUGUCAAAUGAGCAAAAAAAUUCAAUGAACCUUUGUCAAAUGACCAAACUAUUUAAUGCUCAUUUGUCAAAUGAGCAAAUGAUUCUUGCUCAUUUUGACAAAUUAAUGCUCAUUUGUGAGUGUGUUUGAAUGUUUUAAAUACGUUAGCCUACUAGCUCAAGGGUAGAGUAUUGUUCAAAUGCACAAAAGAUAUGGGUUCGAAUCCCACGUAGGUUCAUUUAUGUAAUGUGGAAACACAAGUUUGUAUGAGAGUUUAAUUUUAACAAAG